AUGCCAGGAUCACAAGCCGACGAGAUUGACUGGGAGAAUUUAUCGAACAAGGAGCUUCAUGAUAAGUUUCAGCAAAUGAUGACUGAACAGGUGCAAGAUGUGCUGAACAAUUUUGAAGAGGCCAUGGAGAAGAUCACUGGCCUUGAGAAGACGUUCGAAACAAAGCUCGAUAACAGAUUUAAUGAAUUGCUCGCGCGUCUUCCACCACCACCACCCGCUGCACCUAACGCACCUCUCCAACAACAACAACAACGACUACCUCCACGUCGCGAAAUAGACCUUCGCCGAGCGAGCCGUGUUCCUCUUGCGUUUGGCCAAACUGUUGGUGCUGCUGUUGAUACUUCUGUGGCUCCUGCUGCUGAUGCGGAGGAGGAUGAUUAUGUGGGAGACUAUGAGGAUGAGGUUGAUCAAAAUCAACACUACGUGCAGCCACCAGCACCACCACCAGCAGGUCGACCUCAGGUAUAUAUUCGUAAUGGUAGGCCUGCACCACCACCUCAGGUACGAGAUGAUGUCCAUAUUCCUAAACUGAAAUUGAAUAUUCCAUCAUUUGAGGGUAGAUAUGUUCCUGAUAUAUAUCUUACUUGGGAGUUAGAAACUGAACAACGAUUUACAUGUUUACAAUAUCCUGAGGAGAGACGAGUUGCUGCUGCUGUUUGUGCUUUCACUAGUUUUGCAUGUGUAUGGUGGUCUGAACAUUGUAGAUUAUAUCCUAUUCCAACUACUUGGGCUGCUUUGAAAACUGCUAUGCGUACGCAUUGGGUUCCACCAUAUUAUCAACGUGAAUUGCUUCAAAAAUUGCAGCGUUUAAGACAAGGGAAAAAUUCUGUAGAAGAAUAUUAUCAGGAAUUACAAACUGGCAUGAUUAGAUGUGGUAUUGUUGAGGAGAAUGAAGCUAUGCUUGCACGUUUUCUGGGUGGAUUAAAUAGAGAGAUUCAGACCAUUCUAGACUAUAAGGAGUAUACUAAUAUCACUCGUUUAUUCCAUCUUGCUUGUAAAGCUGAACGUGAAGUGCAGGAUCGACAAGCAUUGGGGCGAACUAACUUUUCUGCAGGCCGACCUUCAUCAUGGACACCACGUGCAUCUUCUACUUCAACUGCACCAGCACCUCCAUCCGGUGCCACCUCCAGCCGUGAUACAAGAAAACAGGCACAACCACCAUUAUCUGCCAAGAGCGCACCUGCGGGGCCUGCACAGCGUUCUUCUUCUUCCAUGGCAUCAACAGGGCACACAAGUGAUAUUAUUUGUCGUCGUUGUAAGGGAGGAGGUCAUUAUGCGAGAGAAUGCAAAUCUCCGCGUGUGAUGAUUGCUACCGCGGAUGGUGGAUAUGAGUCUGCUAGUGACUAUGAUGAGGAGACUUUGGCUCUUAUUACACGUGAAGAACAUGGUGGAGAUGAUUCUGAUCAUGAGACGCAAUACAUGGCUCCUGAAGACGCUGACAGGUAUGAAUGUUUAGUUGCUCAACGUGUUUUGAGUGUGCAGAUCACACAAGCUAAACAAAAUCAGAGGCACAAUUUGUUCCAUACCAAGGGAGUUGUGAAGGAACGUUCUGUGCGCGUCAUCAUAGACGGAGGGAGCUGCAACAACUUGGCUAGCAUGGAGAUGGUGGAGAAGCUUUCUCUCACCACAAGACCACAUCCACAUCCUUACUACAUCCAAUGGUUCAAACAACAGCGGCAAGGUUAA
rnacentral:rRNA from 1 species